rnacentral:rRNA from 1 species
GAAGAUAUUGGAUUGUAGACCCCCCCGUGGAACUCUGUGUGUACCGUGCCUUUGCUGCCAGCAGGGUAAUUCCGGCUUUGUCUCGAUUGCUUCCUGCAGUUGGUGCGAGCAUUGCUGCCCGCAUCAAUGGCGCUCUGGCAUGCCUAUACACCAGUGCCAACCACUGUCAAAACCAAAAUCUGAAGUUUUGAUUGCUAGUAACUGGCAAUCCUAACCAAAGACAACUCUCAACAACGGAUAUCUUGGCUCUCGCAACGAUGAAGAACGCAGCGAAAUGCGAUACGUAGUGUGAAUUGCAGAAUUCCGUGAACCAUCGAAUCUUUGAACGCAUAUUGCGCUCGAGCCUUCGGGCAAGAGCAUGUCUGCCUCAGCGUCGGUUUACACCCUCACCCCUCUUUCCUUUUGGAUCGCAGGCUAGCUUCUCAGCUAGCCGCAGGGGGUGGAUCUGGCUUUCCCAAUCCUCUAGGGUUGGGUUGGCUGAAGUGUAGAGGCUUAAUCAAGGACCCGAUAUGGGCUUCAACUGGAUAGGUAGCAACGGCAUCUGCCGACUACACGAAGUUGUAGCUUGUGGACUUUGAUAGGAGCCAAGCAGGAAACGUGCUUGCACGUUUAAACUUUCGACCUGAGCUCAGGCAAGGCUACCCGCUGAACUUAAGCAUAUCACUAAGCGGAGGAAA